CCUACGGGGGGCUGCAGUAAGGAAUAUUGGUCAAUGGACGCAAGUCUGAACCAGCCAUGCCGCGUGGAGGAUGAAGGUCCUCUGGAUUGUAAACUUCUUUUAUUUGGGAAGAAACUCCCGAUUUCCAUCGGGAUUGACGGUACCAGAUGAAUAAGCACCGGCUAACUCCGUGCCAGCAGCCGCGGUAAUACGGAGGGUGCGAGUGUACUGGGGAUUCAGGGGGCGUAAGUGGGGAGGAAAGUCGCUGGUGAAAUCUCCGGGCUUAACCCUGAAACUGCCAUUGAUACUAUUUGUCUUGAAUACUCUGGAGGUGAGCGGAAUAUGUCAUGUAGCGGUGAAAUGCUUAGAUAUGACAUAGAACACCCAUUGCGAAGGCAGCUCACUACGGAAAUAUUGACGCUGAGGCACGAAAGCGUGGGGAUCAAACAGGAUUAGAUACCCCUGUAGUC
rnacentral:rRNA from 1 species